GAGGGUAUAGCUCAGUGGUAGAGAGUAUGCUUAACAUGUACGAGGUCCUGGGUUCAAUCCUCAGUACCUCCA
rnacentral:tRNA from 1 species